CAGCCGCCGCGGUAAUACCGGCGGCCCGAGUGGCGGUCACUAUUAUUGGGCUUAAAGCGUCCGUAGCCGGGUUGGGAAGUCCUCCGGGAAAUCUGGCCGCUUAAAGGUCAGAAUGCCGGAGGAUACUCCCAGCCUAGGGAGCGGGAGAGGCCGAGGGGAUUCCCGGGGUUGGGGGGAAAUCCUAUAAUCCCGGGAGGGCCACCUGUGGCGAAGGCGCUCGGCUGGAACGCGUCCGACGGUGAGGGACGAAGGCCAGGGGAGCAAACCGGAUUAGAUACCCGGGUAGUCCUGGCUGUAAACGAUGCGGACUUUGUGUCGGACAAGCUAUGAGCUUGUCCGGUGCCGGAGGGAAACCGUUAAGUCCGCCGCCUGGGGAGUACGGCCGCAAGGCUGAAACUUAAAGGAAUUGGCGGG
rnacentral:rRNA from 1 species